GCCACCGCCCUCCCCUCCGGCUGACACUUGUCGUGCGCAGACAACACGCGCUGUACCAAACAAUUCAGCCCGAGCCCUGCUGCAAACUCGCCGCGUUAUUUUUCUCCUCCGCUUGUUUAUGGCUGACGCUAUCUCCCCGCACCGCUCCCUCGGUUUCAUUAUCUCUGCUCGCAGAUGGCCCGUGGCUUUCCCUCCUUCGCGGGGUUUCUGCUCGUGGUACAGCUCCAUCUCCCCCUCCCAGCUCUGUCCCUCACCCUGGCUCACAGGUGAUGCUCCCAAAUUGGUCCCACCUCGUCCCUCUCAGCCCCUCAGCUCCAGCCCCGGUUCUUCCUGCUGUGGCUUCUGCUUCCCUGAAUCCCAUUUACGGGUUUCCAGGUGAGCCUUUCCCAGAAAAGCACUUCACUUCAGCAGUCCUGCGUUCUGCAGUGCCUCUUCCCAAACAGAUGAUGAAUUUAUUUAAUCUGGAGGAUUAAAGAAGUGCUACAACUUCCAAGGAUUCAAAGACGUGGUGGAAAAAGUGACCUCACUGGCAAAGACUUUGAGACUUCACAAACCGCCUUCACGAGGCAGAAGAAUAUGACAUGGGAACGGCUGGCUGGAACAACGGCGUGUCUUAAUGCCAGCGUGGUUGGUGGAGCUGGGGAGGAGGAAUGCUAUUAAGAAGUUUGCAGCUUUUAUUGUGUGCUGUCAAAGGAAAACUUGCAGCCUGAAGGAACAGGCGUCAUGGACUAUUGGUCCUGUCUGGAAACAGAAUAAAUAUUGGAGGCAAAUAUGUUAAAAUCUGUUUUGGCCAUCACACAGACUCAAGGGAGACAGCUCGGAUGCCCCGUUCCCUCCUUUCUUACCUUAAUAAAUGGCAACAUCUCACUUUCUUACAAACUUCUCUGUCUUCAUCCUUGUGGACAUGUGCAGCAUUCAUUGUUUUGAAUCCUGGUAACCUCUAGGUGAAAGAACUCAUUAGAAAAACCAAAACCCACCAGAUUUUCUGACUUGUUUUCAUAGAUCACAGGCAAACAUUAGAAAAUAUUGUGAAACAUUGUUCCU